GUGGGUAUAGCUCAAUGGUAAAGUGUGUACCAAGUAUGCCCAAGGUCCUGGGUUCAAUCCCCAGUAUCUCCA
rnacentral:tRNA from 1 species